rnacentral:tRNA from 1 species
AAGGAUUUAAGUUAAAAAAACUAGUAACCUUCAAAGUUAAAAUUAGAAAAAUUUCUAAACCUUA